rnacentral:lncRNA from 1 species
AUAAACACAUUUAUAGUUUGGCCCAAAACAUUGAACAUGACAUACGUUGGCCUACCACAAGAACUAUAUUGUUAUUCUUUGUAUUUUUAUCUUACAUUUCAUAAAUAAAUUAUCCAUACCUUUGAAAAUAUUUAUUUUAGUUCUUCCAUCCUAAGAAGUAGGUCAUGUGUCAACCUAUUAUUCAUGAAGAUAUGACAUGCCAGAAGCAAGGGAUGAUCC